ACCUUUUGUAUAAUGGGUCAGCGACUUAUAUUCUGUAGCAAGGUUAACCGAAUAGGGGAGCCGAAGGGAAACCGAGUCUUAACUGGGCGUUAAGUUGCAGGGUAUAGACCCGAAACCCGGUGAUCUAGCCAUGGGCAGGUUGAAGGUUGGGUAACACUAACUGGAGGACCGAACCGACUAAUGUUGAAAAAUUAGCGGAUGACUUGUGGCUGGGGGUGAAAGGCCAAUCAAACCGGGAGAUAGCUGGUUCUCCCCGAAAGCUAUUUAGGUAGCGCCUCGUGAAUUCAUCUCCGGGGGUAGAGCACUGUUUCGGCAAGGGGGUCAUCCCGACUUACCAACCCGAUGCAAACUGCGAAUACCGGAGAAUGUUAUCACGGGAGACACACGGCGGGUGCUAACGUCCGUCGUGAAGAGGGAAACAACCCAGACCGCCAGCUAAGGUCCCAAAGUCAUGGUUAAGUGGGAAACGAUGUGGGAAGGCCCAGACAGCCAGGAUGUUGGCUUAGAAGCAGCCAUCAUUUAAAGAAAGCGUAAUAGCUCACUGGUCGAGUCGGCCUGCGCGGAAGAUGUAACGGGGCUAAACCAUGCACCGAAGCUGCGGCAGCGACACUGUGUGUUGUUGGGUAGGGGAGCGU
rnacentral:rRNA from 1 species